rnacentral:rRNA from 1 species
AUGGCGGCGUCGGUGCUUCGCCCGAGAGGAAGGGGAGGGGGCGGGAGGGGAUCUUUAUAUGCUGUUCUGUUGAUGGACUGGAUGGAAUCUCGUGGAGCAACAUUGACACUUGGGCAUCAAGCACUGCGGCUUGACCUCGUUUCCAAAGUGCAUGGGAUACAGGAGGCUGAAGAAUAUUUCUGGAGCCUUCCAGAUAAGUCAAAGGAAACUUAUUCAUGUUUGCUUAACUGCUAUGGUGAACACGGAAUGGCAUGCAAAGGUCUUGAACUCUAUGAGAAGAUGAAAGUCAUGGACAUUGUUCCAAAUACACUGGUGUACAACAACUUGAUGACUUUGUACCAAAAGGCGGGCCAGCCAGAGAAAAUCCCCUCCACAUUUGAAGAAAUUCGAGAAAGCGGUAUAACUGCUAACAAUUUUACAUACUUCACUUUGAUAGAAAGCUAUAUCGCAAUGAAUGACCUGGAGGCUGCAGAGAAAGUCCUGGAAGAAUUGGAGAAAGUAGCUCCAGUUCACUGGUCCUUGUACACUUUGAUGGCAAACAGUUACAUUAAACUAGAGCUGUUUGGAAAGUCAGAAGUGGCCCUAAAGAAAGCUGAGGAAGUCAUGGACAAAGCUGAGUUGUUGUCCAUUCUGGCAAUUCAACCAAGCAAAUCUUUCCGGAGUGGGAAUCGAGGUCAUUACAACGGGAGGACGGUUUUUACAUAUUUGCCGAGUUCUAUUUGGACAAAUCUGAUGUUACCGUGGCACUGGAGAUCUUGA